UGCAACUUGCCGGUAAUCUGUCCAUGCUUCUAGUGUCUGUUUCGUGAGAUUUUGGCCUGUGCGUCGCGUACUGCAUUCUCAGGUUUCUCGAGUGACAGUUCCACAUGGGCCGGUGCUGCGUUCCUCGCUGUCGAGACAACAACGACGAGGGCCCAAUAGUGCAUGUGUUCACGUUUCCAAAGGACGAAGUUGUCAAAGAAUCAUAGCUGAAGGAGAUUCCACGCGUAGAUUUUAAACCGAGCUUUCGCUCCAAGGUCUGCGAACUGAAUUUUCUGCAAUCGGAAUUGUCGCGAAACUCACGCACAGCGAUGGGACCACUGGGAAGACGACUGAAAUCGAAAGCGAUCUACUACGACUGGUGCCAUGUGCUGUGGCUGCAGUUUAUUCAAACUGCCCGGCCUACAUGUCAUCUACGCGUGCUCGUCGCGAAUCAACGAACUCCAAACGCGCCAGGAUGAAGACACGACCCUUCAGAAAACGUAGAGCCAGAAGAGAAGUGAUGAAGAAUUCAGCGUCUUCUAUGACCACCUAAAAAGCAAGUUAGGAGGCAUCUGCAACACCAAUUUUAGAUAAUGAGUGUGACCGACAAGUGUGUGAUGUUUGUCCACAUUGAAA